rnacentral:rRNA from 1 species
AACGAACGCUGGCGGCAUGCCUAACACAUGCAAGUCGAACGAGACCUUCGGGUCUAGUGGCGCACGGUUGCGUAACGCGUGGGAACCUGCCCUUAGGUUCGGAAUAACUCCCCGAAAGGGGUGCUAAUAUCGGAUAAUGUCUUCGGACCAAAGAUUUAUCGCCUUUGGAUGGGCUCGCGUUGGAUUAGCUAGUUGGUAGGGUAAAAGCCUACCAAGGCGACGAUCCAUAGCUGGUCUGAGAGGGUGAUCAGCCACACUGGGACUGAGACACGGCCCAGACUCCUACGGGAGGCAGCAGUGGGGAAUAUUGGACAAUGGGCGACAGCCUAAUCCAGCAAUGCCGCGUGAGUGAUGAAGGCCUUAGGGUUGUAAAGCUCUUUUACCCGGGAUGAUAAUGACAGUACCGGGAGAAUAAGCUCCGGCUAACUCCGUG